rnacentral:rRNA from 1 species
UACGGAGGAUCCGAGCGUUAUCCGGAUUUAUUGGGUUUAAAGGGAGCGUAGGCGGGUCGUUAAGUCAGUUGUGAAAGUUUGCGGCUCAACCGUAAAAUUGCAGUUGAUACUGGCAUCCUUGAGUACAGUAGAGGUAGGCGGAAUUCGUGGUGUAGCGGUGAAAUGCUUAGAUAUCACGAAGAACUCCGAUUGCGAAGGCAGCCUGCUGGACUGUAACUGACGCUGAUGCUCGAAAGUGUGGGUAUCAAACAGG